rnacentral:rRNA from 1 species
CAGUCGCCACGGUAAUACGUAGGGUGCAAGCGUUAAUCGGAAUUACUGGGCGUAAAGCGUGCGCAGGCGGUUAUUCAAGACAGAUGUGAAAUCCCCGGGCUCAACCUGGGAACUGCAUUUGUGACUGGAUGACUAGAGUACGGCAGAGGGGGAUGGAAUUCCGCGUGUAGCAGUGAAAUGCGUAGAUAUGCGGAGGAACACCGAUGGCGAAGGCAAUCCCCUGGGCCUGUACUGACGCUCAUGCACGAAAGCGUGGGGAGCAAACAGGAUUAGAUACCCGGGUAGUCCCUGUCUCUUAUAC